rnacentral:misc_RNA from 1 species
AAGUCGUAACAAGGUUUCCGUAGGUGAACCUGCGGAAGGAUCAUUAGUGAAUUUGUAGCCUCCAAGGCUCACAUUCUCUAUCCUUUUCACACCUGUGCACCCUUCUGAAGCGGAGAGUUAUUAGGCGUUAGCCGAGCGCCUCCCUUCGGUUAUUAUGUCAAACUCUUAACUACGUUUACUAGAAUGUGUUAUCGUCUUGUUGUAACGACAAGUACAAUCCAGUAAAACUUUCAGCAACGGAUCUCUUGGCUCAG